AUACGACCAAGCCAAGGCACAAGCACAAGUCACAACGCCCUAGAGUAGAGGCUGAGCUGCAUAUAUCACCGAGCACCCUCUCUCUCUCUGUUCCCCUCCCUCGCUCGACAUGGAGGUCGCCGCCGCCACUUGUACGCUCCUUGCUGCCGUCGCCCUACCAGUUUCGUCCUCAGCAGCAGCAGCACGCUCUGCGACGAAACAGAGCUACUCGAGGAGGAAGACGACGGCCGUGCGAGCCGUCAUGGCGAGGCCGCAUCAGGUGCCGCCGCCUGCCACUGCCACCGCCACCGCCACCACGUACCGCGACAACUGGUUCGACAAGCUGGCCAUCGGGUACCUGUCCCGGAACCUUCAAGAAGCUUCUGGGAUGAAGAACGGAAAGGACGGCUACGAGGGCCUGAUAGAGGCGGCCCUGGCCAUCUCCGCGCUGUUCAGGGUUGACCAGCAGUGGGACACUGUGGCCAGCGCUCUCCAACGGGCCUUCCCCAGCUACAUCCUCACCAUGAUCAAGGUGAUGAUGCCACCCUCUCGAUUCUCGCGGGAGUAUUUCGCCGCCUUCACCACGGUGUUCUUCCCUUGGCUCGUCGGACCAUGUGAGGGAAUCCCAAGUGGAUGGAAGGGAAGAGAGGAACGUGGUCUACAUACCCAAAUGCAGAUUUCUGGAAAGCACCAACUGUGUCGGAAUGUGCACGAACCUCUGCAAAAUCCCAUGCCAGAGGUUCAUCCAGGAUUCACUUGGCACGGCUGUCUACAUGUCUCCCAAUUUUGAGGACAUGAGCUGCGAGAUGAUCUUUGGACAGCAACCACCUGAAGAUGAUCCAGCACUGAAGCAGCCCUGCUUCCGGACAAAAUGCAUCGCAAAGCAGAAUCAUCAAGUGAAUUGCUCUAUUUGAUUUGAGAGGAAGUGGAUAUGUAAAUUACUAUACUACUAUCAGUGGAAAUUCCCAAAAUUACAUGCUUUCAUGUUUAUUCCCUUAGUAAGCAGCAUCAGUUUCAUAGAUUCUUUUUACUUGAAAACAUAGCAGAAGGCAAUUCUAGUAUACGUCAAAUUGUUAGGAAACUGGUUGCUGAUCAAGAGGAUUGAAGAGGAAACACAAGAUAUGCCUUUGGAAAAUGCACAGGAUUUUAGUGAAUCCCUUGUAAGAAAGAUAUAUUAAAGAAGUGUGAAGAAUGGAAUUACCCAUA